rnacentral:rRNA from 1 species
ACGAACGCUGGCGGCGUGCCUAACACAUGCAAGUCGAGCGGAGACAGUGAGUAGCUUGCUAUAAGCUGUUUUAGCGGCGGACGGGUGAGUAACGCGUGAGCAACCUUUCCCAGACAGGGGAAUAACACACCGAAAGGUGUACUAAUACCGCAUAAGACCACGGAAUCACAUGGUUCUGGGGUAAAAGAUUUAUCGGUUUGGGGUGGGCUCGCGUCCGAUUAGGUAGUUGGUGAGGUAACGGCCCACCAAGCCGACGAUCGGUAGCCGACCUGAGAGGGUGAUCGGCCACAUUGGGACUGAGACACGGCCCAAACUCCUACGGGAGGCAGCAGUGGGGAAUAUUGGGCAAUGGAGGAAACUCUGACCCAGCAACGCCGCGUGGAGGAAGAAGGUUUUCGGAUCGUAAACUCCUGUCCUUGGAGACGAGUAGAAGACGGUAUCCAAGGAGGAAGCCCCGGCUAACUACGUGCCAGCAGCCGCGGUAAUACGUAGGGGGCAAGCGUUGUCCGGAAUAAUUGGGCGUAAAGGGCGCGUAGGCGGCUCGGUAAGUCUGGAGUGAAAGUCCUGCUUUUAAGGUGGGAAUUGCUUUGGAUACUGUCGGGCUUGAGUGCAGGAGAGGUUAGUGGAAUUCCCAGUGUAGCGGUGAAAUGCGUAGAGAUUGGGAGGAACACCAGUGGCGAAGGCGACUAACUGGACUGUAACUGACGCUGAGGCGCGAAAGUGUGGGGAGCAAACAGGAUUAGAUACCCUGGUAGUCCACACUGUAAACGAUGAAUGCUAGGUGUAGGGGGUAUCGACCCCUUCUGUGCCGCAGUCAACACAAUAAGCAUUCCGCCUGGGGAGUACGGCCGCAAGGUUGAAACUCAAAGGAAUUGACGGGGGCCCGCACAAGCAGCGGAGCAUGUGGUUUAAUUCGACGCAACGCGAAGAACCUUACCAGGUCUUGACAUCCACUUAAACUUGCAGAGAUGUAAGGUGUGCUUGCACAAAGUGAGACAGGUGGUGCAUGGUUGUCGUCAGCUCGUGUCGUGAGAUGUUGGGUUAAGUCCCGCAACGAGCGCAACCCUUAUCUUCAGUUACUAACGCGUAGAGGUGAGGACUCUGAAGAGACUGCCGGGGACAACUCGGAGGAAGGUGGGGACGACGUCAAAUCAUCAUGCCCCCUUAUGACCUGGGCUACACACGUGCUACAAUGGCCACGACAGAGAGAAGCGAAAUCGCAAGGUAGAGCGGAACUCAAAAAAGUGGUCCCAGUUCGGAUUGUGGGCUGCAACCCGCCCACAUGAAGUCGGAGUUGCUAGUAAUCGCGGAUCAGCAUGCCGCGGUGAAUACGUUCCCGGGCCUUGUACACACCGCCCGUCACACCAUGGGAGUUGGGAGUGCCCAAAGCCGGUGAGGCAACCGCAAGGAGCCAGCCGUCUAAGGCAAGACCAAUGACUGGGGUG